AGCGAACGCUGGCGGCAGGCUUAACACAUGCAAGUCGAACGGGCGUAGCAAUACGUCAGUGGCAGACGGGUGAGUAACGCGUGGGAACGUACCUUUUGGUUCGGAACAACACAGGGAAACUUGUGCUAAUACCGGAUAAGCCCUUACGGGGAAAGAUUUAUCGCCGAAAGAUCGGCCCGCGUCUGAUUAGCUAGUUGGUGAGGUAACGGCUCACCAAGGCGACGAUCAGUAGCUGGUCUGAGAGGAUGAUCAGCCACAUUGGGACUGAGACACGGCCCAAACUCCUACGGGAGGCAGCAGUGGGGAAUAUUGGACAAUGGGGGCAACCCUGAUCCAGCCAUGCCGCGUGAGUGAUGAAGGCCCUAGGGUUGUAAAGCUCUUUUGUGCGGGAAGAUAAUGACGGUACCGCAAGAAUAAGCCCCG
rnacentral:rRNA from 1 species